UACAGAGGGUGCUAGCGUUGUUCGGAAUUAUUGGGCGUAAAGCGCGUGUAGGCGGCCUAGCAAGUUGGGUGUGAAAGCCCUCGGCUUAACCGAGGAAGUGCGCCCAAAACUACUAGGCUUGAGUACCGGAGAGGAUGGCGGAAUUCCCGGUGUAGAGGUGAAAUUCGUAGAUAUCGGGAGGAACACCAGUGGCGAAGGCGGCCAUCUGGACGGAUACUGACGCUGAGACGCGAAAGCGUGGGUAGCAAACAGG
rnacentral:rRNA from 1 species